rnacentral:rRNA from 1 species
UACGUAGGUGGCAAGCGUUGUCCGGAUUUACUGGGCGUAAAGAGCGCGCAGGCGGUCGAUCAAGUCGCGUGUGAAAGCCCCUGGCUCAACCAGGGAGGGUCAUUCGAUACUGUUCGACUCGAAGGCAGGAGAGGGAAGUGGAAUUCCGGGUGUAGUGGUGAAAUGCGUAGAUAUGACAUAGAACACCAAUUGCGAAGGCAGCUCACUACACGAAUAUUGACACUGAGGCACGAAAGCGUGGGGAUCAAACAGG